GCGACGGCAGUGCGCAUGCGCGGCGCGGCGGCGCAGUUUCCGCAGCAGAGCAGGCAGCUCCGCCGCUGCGUCCAGACGUCUCCUGCUGGGCGGACGCUCGGCUCCUCGCUAGGUGCUCGGCCUCCGCUGGCGACCGGCGACCCCUCCGCAGCUCGAGUCCCCGGCCGCCGCAGCGCGCCUGCCUCCGGCCCCCUGUCCCGCGAAGAUGGCUGCCGUACGCCGGGCCCGCAGUUACUGCCGCUGCCUGGUGCGCUUCUCCGACCGAGAACUCUGCUAAGCCGCGCUGCAGCAGACGGGCAGGAGUAGACACCGGGCAGCCGCCACCCCU